UUGGAGGGCAAGUCUGGUGCCAGCAGCCGCGGUAAUUCCAGCUCCAAUAGCGUAUAUUAAAAUUGUUGCAGUUAAAAAGCUCGUAGUUGAAUUUCGGGAUCAGUUUGUUGGUCGUGCUUCGGUAUGUACUGUCAUUACUGGUUCCUACCUUCUGAAGAACCUUGAUGUCAUUAAUUUGGUGUCUUGGGGAAUCAGGACUGUUACUUUGAAAAAAUUAGAGUGUUUAAAGCAAGCAUACGCUUGAAUACAUUAGCAUGGAAUAAUGAAAUAGGACGUUUGAUUCUAUUUUGUUGGUUUCUAGGAUCGACGUAAUGAUUAAUAGGGAUAGUUGGGGGCAUUAGUAUUCAAUUGUCAGAGGUGAAAUUCUUGGAUUUAUUGAAGACUAACUACUGCGAAAGCAUUUGCCAAGGAUGUUUUCAUUAAUCAAGAACGAAAGUUAGGGGAUCGAAGACGAUCAGAUACCGUCGUAGUCUUAACCAUAAACUAUGCCGACUAGGGAUCGGAUGAUGUUAUUUUUAAUGACUCAUUCGGCGCCUUACGGGAAAC
rnacentral:rRNA from 1 species